rnacentral:rRNA from 1 species
UGGGGAAUUUUGGACAAUGGGCGAAAGCCUGAUCCAGCAAUGCCGCGUGUGUGAAGAAGGCCUUCGGGUUGUAAAGCACUUUUUGUCCGGAAAGAAAUCCUUGGCUCUAAUACAGUCGGGGGAUGACGGUACCGGAAGAAUAAGCACCGGCUAACUACGUGCCAGCAGCCGCGGUAAUACGUAGGGUGCAAGCGUUAAUCGGAAUUACUGGGCGUAAAGCGUGCGCAGGCGGUUUGCUAAGACCGAUGUGAAAUCCCCGGGCUCAACCUGGGAACUGCAUUGGUGACUGGCAGGCUAGAGUAUGGCAGUAGGGGGGUUAGAAUUCCACGUGUANCAGUGAAAUGCGUAGAGAUGUGGAGGAAUACCGAUGGCGAAGGCAGCCCCCUGGGCCAAUACUGACGCUCAUGCACGAAAGCGUGGGGGAGCAAACAGGAUUCAGAUACCCUGGUAGUCCACGCCCUAAACGAUGUCAACUAGUUGUU